GGCAAGGUGGCCGAGCGGUCUAAGGCGUUCGACUCAAGUUUCUAACUUAGUUUGUGAAAACACGAGCUUGUAUUCGAAUGUGAGUUUCACGCGUGGGUUCGAAUCCCACCCUUGUCA